GAUGAACGCUGUCGGCGUGCCUAAUACAUGCAAGUCGAGCGAACAGACGAGGAGCUUGCUCCUCUGAUGUUAUCGGCGGACGGGUGAGUCACACUUGGAUCACCUACCUAUAAGACUGGGAUAACUUCGUGACACCGGCGCUAAUACCGGAUAACAUGUUGAACCGCAUGGUUCAACAGUGAAAGACGUUCUUGCUGUCACUUCUAGAUGGAUCCGCGCCGCAUUAGCUAGUUGGUAAGGUAACGGCUUACCAAGGCAACGAUGCGUAGCCGACCUGAGAGGGUCAUCGAGCACACUGGAACUGAGACACGGUCCAGACUAAGAAGAGAGGCAGCAGAAUGAGAUCUGCGGAAAGGAGCUAAAGGCUGACAGAGGAAUGCCGGGUGAGUGAAUAAAGUGUAGGGAAUGUAAAACACAGGUAGUAGGAAAGAACAAAGAUGAGAGUAACUAUGUACGUUAGGACGGGACACAAUCAGAAAUGCAGGGCUAACUACAGG
rnacentral:rRNA from 1 species